rnacentral:sRNA from 1 species
AUUGGUUAAGACUCUUUUGGGAGAAAAUAGGUAUAAGUGUUGUCUAAACACUCCUAAUCCAUUUCUAACUCUUAUAAUUAGUCGAAUGCAUUGGAUUGUGAUACCUUUUGACCAUAUAAACACUAACAAAGCUAUUUACUCCUUCUAAGCAAUAUUUUGUUGGUUAUAGCUUCUUUUGGGAGAAAAUGGGUAUAAGUAUUCUUUAACCACUUCUAAUCCAUCUAUAACUCUUAUAAUUAGUCAAAUGCAUUGGAUUGUGACACAUUUUGACUAUAGAAACUCUAACAAAUUUAUUGACUGCUUCUAAGCAAGUUUUGUUGGUUUUAGACUCUUUUGGAUGAAAAUGGGUACAAGUGUUUUCUAAACACUCCUAAUCUAUCUCUAACUCUAAUAAUUAGUCGAUUGCACUGGAUUGUAACACAUUAUGACCAUAAAAACACUAACAAAGUUAUUUACUUCUUCUAGGCAAUAUUAUGUUGGUUAUAGCUUUUUUUGGGAGAAAAUGAGUAUAAAUGUUCUCUAAACACUCCUAAUUCAUCUCUAACUCUUGUAAUUAGUCAAAUGCAUUGGAUUGUGACAUAUUUUGACCAUAGAAACACUAACAAAUCUAUUGACUCCUUCUAAGCAAGUUUUGUUGGUUUUAGACUCUUUUGGGAGAAAAUGGGUAUAAGUGUUGUCUAAAAACUCCUAAUCCAUCUCUAACUCUUAUAUUUAGUCGAUUGCAUUGGAUUGUGACACAUUUUGACAAUAAAAAUACUAACAACGCUGUUUAGUGCUUCUAAGCAAUAACUUGUUGGUUAUAGCUUCUUUUGGGAGAAAAUGAGUAUAAGUGUUCUCUAAACACUCCUAAUCCAUCUCUAACUCUUAUAAUUAGUCAAAUGCAUUGGAUUGUGACACAUUUUGACUAUAGAAACACUAACAAAUAUAUUGACUGCUUCUAAGCAAGUUUUGUUGGUUUUAGACUCUUUCGGGAGAAAAUGGGUAUGAGUGUUCUCUAAACACUCCUUAUCCAUCUCUAACUCUUAUAAUUAGUCAAAUGCAUUGGAUUGCGUCACAUUUUGACCAUAGAAACACUAACAAAUCUAUUGACUGUUCGAAGCAAGUUUUGUUGGUUUUAGACUCUUUUAGGAGAAAAUGGGUAUAAGUCUUGUCUAAACAAUCAUAAUCCAUCUAUAACUCUUAUAAUUAGUCAAUUGCAUUGGAUUGAGACACAUUUUGACUGUAAAAAUACUAACAAAGCUAUUUACUGCUUCCAAGCAAUGUUUUGUUGGUUUUAGCUUCUUUUAGAAGAAAAUGGAUAUAAGUGUUGUCUAAACACUCAUAAGCCAUCUCUAACUCUUAAAAUUACUCAAAUCCGUUAGAUUAUGAUACAUUUUGAUUAUAGAAACACUAACAAAGCUAUUUACUCUUUCUAAGCAAUAUUUUGUUGGUUAUAGCUUCUUUUAGGAGAAAAUGGGUAUAAGUGUUCUCUAAGUACUCCUAAUCCAUCUCUUACUCUUAUAAUUAGUCAAUUGCAUUGGUAUGUGACACAUCUUGACAAUAGAAAUACUAACAAAGCUAUUUACAGCUUCUAAGCAAUAUUUUGUUGGUUUUAGCUUCUUUUAGGAGAAAUUAGAUAUAAGUAUUGUCUAAACACACCUAAUCCAUCUCUAAAUCUUAUAAUUACUCAAAUGCAUUAGAUUGUGAUACAUUUUGAUUAUAGAAACACUAACAAUUCUAUUUACUGUUUCUAAGCAAUAUUUUGUUGGUUGUAGCUUCUUUUGGGAGUAAAUGGGUAUAAGUGUUGUCUAAACACUCCUAAUCCAUCUCUAACUCUUAUAAUUAGUCAAUUUCAUUGGAUUCUGACACAUUUUGACCAUAAAAAUACUAACAAAGCUAUUUACUGCUUCCAUGCAAUGUUUUGUUGGUUUUAGCUUUUUUUUGGAGAAAUUA